AUCAACACAUACUGUAUAUUCUCAAGCAUUUUUGCCAAUGUUUCGCAAUCUUUGCAAUUCUCCAAAGAGAAGGGGGAAAGCAAAUUUGUUUUUUUUUUUUGGUUUGGUUUGUUUAUUGAACAUAAAACAUAUACAGUAAUAAUUUGACAGAAAAUAAGGUAAAUAAAAUAAAAUAGUAAAAAGAAAGAAAUCAGUCUUCAUUCAACACAGUUAUUAUGUUCAAGGGAGUAGGAAGAAGUAAGUAAUGUGAUUACAUCAUGAAACAUUUACACAAAUGUAGCACAAAGCAUAACUUCAAUUUUUAUAUUGUAGCUGCCUAUUAAACAUGCAACAGAAAAACUACAACUAAAUACUGAAGUAUACAAACAAAGUCCUGAAAACCACAAGAAACCAAGUACUGUAACAAAAACCUAUCAUAGAAACGACGAGACAAUGAGAAACACCACGACAGGACACAAAGCGGGAGCUGAUUGGUUCAACACAAAUGACCCGAAUGACAAGAACAGGUGGGGACAAAAAUAACACACCAGUGAACAAAACCAAAUGUAAUCUAAAUAACAUAACAUAACAGUGAGGUCAUCACAUUAAGUGACAGUUGCAUUUUUGUCUUUAAUUGUCUCACGCUGUCUGAAAAAUGUGUGGGGUGAAAAAAAAAACGUGUGGCCGGUUCGCUUUCCGUCAUUCUUUCGCAACGUAAACCAGAAUUCAGAACAUUCAGACACGUGUACCUAGGCCUUGCCAAACAUGGAAUAGUGUUUCCAAGCCAAAAUACACACACAUACAACAAAAACAGCACUGAAUGUGUCGUGACAGUGACAAGAUGGCCUCUACAUCUGCUUGGAGUAGCUUGGGGGGCUCGAUACUGUUGGAGCUGUCAAUGCCUACAGCUAAUAAACAUACAUGAUGGCACAUUUAAUACUUCAGUCAUUUGAGGCAUCGUAUUAAGUCUUCAUGAGACCCUAUCCAGUGUGUUUUGGAUGUCUUCGACCUCCAUCACACCUGAUUAAAUCGUGAUCAGGCUUCCAAAAAGCUUGCUGCUGAGCUGAUCAUUUGAAUCAGCGUUGUUGGAGAUGUUAGACAUUUAAAAGAUGCUGGAUAGGGACACUCAAGGACCGAACUCUGGCACACUUGAUUUCCAAUAUCAUGCUGGAAAGGAAAACUGUACUGAUAUCGAUUAGAAGAUGCACACAAGGAGAAGAGCACCUAGGUGACUGCCAAAAUUCAUUUGUAGCAGCCCGCCACUGAUAAAUGCAUUUGUGGCAAAGACUGCGGCUGUAAUGUCUCAUUUCAUGGAGUCGAUCAAUGACAGCAUUGAUCAGGUUGGCGAAUGAAGAAAUUACAGCUGACUAGAAAAAUGCCAAAUCCAUCCGACAUAACUGUUCUGUUUUAUAGAAAGUAAAAAAAAGAAAAUAAAAUGUUUUGAAAUGUGAAAAUGCACAAUAUAUAGUAUUUCCUUUCAGGAUGAGGCUGUUCCGUGAACAGACAAUGUAUCAAUAGAACUGAGUGAUCCAUGUGCCCUGACGCUCUCCGAGCAGGAAGUAGAGGGCCAAAUCUUCUGUAAUGGCAGUGACUAACGCGAGUGCACUCUAAUAAAGAGCAGCAAGGAUUCCAUUUAACAUCGGACUUGAAGCUCUGCUUAAAAUUUAAUGGAGCAGCCAUUAAAUUCAACUUUAUAUGAGUUUUUCCUCUAUCAAUGUGAUUUGUCCAAUCACGUUGUGCUUGUCAGAAGAAUUAAUGGCAUGUAAACAGAUUGGGCAGCAGAAUGCAAACGAAAUCCAUCGCUUUUUCCUGACAAUGAGGAUGUUUAGAUGAUGUCAAUACAUAACAUGGCUAUUUCCAAAAGCCCAUAUGCAUUUGGUAUCUAAAUACCAUUUUGAGAGACUGAAAUUUUAAGUGUCGGCACUCCAUGCACAGGAAAGUGUGCCACCGGAGCAGGAUUGUAUAGUGCUGAAAAAGAGACCAGUGGCAGCCUCAUGUUGUGCGUCGUCAGAAUAAGGCACUGAGAAUGGAUCGAUGAAUGGAUGGAGUUCAUUGAUGUGACCUGCGAGAUGGUAAAUUAGAUUAGAAAAAAAAACAAGAUUUGUUUAUCAUGAACACAUUGAGAGAUUGGUUUACAAUCGUUUUAUCCAUCGCUUGCUCUUAUAUAUGUUUAAGAAUGUAUGCGCCGUAUUGCCCCGAAUAUAAGACGAUGUUUUUUGCAAAUAAGACUGAAAAAGUGGGGGUCGUCUUAUAUUCGGGGUCUCGACAUUAUACCCAUUCACGACGCUAGAUGGCGCCAGAUAUCAGUGAAGCGAAUGCUGAACUUGACUCCCGGGGCCAAAGCGAAUCCGUUGCGAAGAAUAAAAAUGAAAAUAGCAGUAGCACGAAGAAGAAAAAUAAAAAAAUAGCGAUAAGAAAGAAAAGAGAAGAAAAUAAUAGAAGAGAUAACAGAAAAUGGAGAAACAUAGCGACAAUCUGGAGAAAAGUGGGUCGAAGAUCGACCAGGUUAAACGGCAGCUGAGGAGAAGUUAUGAUGUAAUUUACAUUUCAAAAACCAGAAGCCAUUCAUUUACGAAUGUGAUUGCACUUUAGUUUACAUAUUUAAAUGUUCAGAUUUUAAGAUUUGAAUGAGGCAAAAUAACAUUUUCUCUCAUCUACAGUAUAUUGUUAUAAUUAUUUAUUUCAGAUGUACUGUAAUUAUUUUCUGUAUAAAAAUUAAUUUGGUGUUCAAAAAGUCUUUUUUCAAGCUUGAGUCUUGAAAAAGAGGGGGGCGUUUUAUAAUCAGGGCCGUCUUAUAUUCGGGCCAAUA